GCCAGCUUGCUGGUGGAUUAGUGGCGAACGGGUGAGUAACACGUGAGUAACCUGCCCUUGACUCUGGGAUAAGCCUGGGAAACUGGGUCUAAUACCGGAUAUGACUCCUCAUCGCAUGGUGGGGGGUGGAAAGCUUUUUGUGGUUUUGGAUGGACUCGCGGCCUAUCAGCUUGUUGGUGAGGUAAUGGCUUACCAAGGCGACGACGGGUAGCCGGCCUGAGAGGGUGACCGGCCACACUGGGACUGAGACACGGCCCAGACUCCUACGGGAGGCAGCAGUGGGGAAUAUUGCACAAUGGGCGCAAGCCUGAUGCAGCGACGCCGCGUGAGGGAUGACGGCCUUCGGGUUGUAAACCUCUUUCAGUAGGGAAGAAGCCGCAAGGUGACGGUACCUGCAGAAGAAGCGCCGGCUAACUACGUGCCAGCAGCCGCGGUAAUACGUAGGGCGCAAGCGUUAUCCGGAAUUAUUGGGCGUAAAGAGCUCGUAGGCGGUUUGUCGCGUCUGCCGUGAAAGUCCGGGGCUCAACUCCGGAUCUGCGGUGGGUACGGGCAGACUAGAGUGAUGUAGGGGAGACUGGAAUUCCUGGUGUAGCGGUGAAAUGCGCAGAUAUCAGGAGGAACACCGAUGGCGAAGGCAGGUCUCUGGGCAUUAACUGACGCUGAGGAGCG
rnacentral:rRNA from 1 species